rnacentral:lncRNA from 1 species
CCAUGGAAACCAAAGUAAUGGAAGCAGGGGAGAGAGAAUUGGCUUUGACGCUACAGAGAUGGGAACCCAGCGUCUCUAGCUGUGAUGAUGUGUGCCACGUGGAGAAAACAGGCCUGAUGUACAAGAGAAUGAAGCCAACACCGACCAAACAACAGUAAUAAAAGAUGGAGAGACAGAAUCUCGGUAUCAUCAAGUCACUGGUUCAUUUGUGAGUUUCACACAUUCCCACAGCUCAUCUUUAUGCUCUCAGAUAGCCCAGUGUCUUACCAAG